UAGGAUGUAAUCAUUUAAUGAUAUUUCAUUUACAAUGAAAAAGAGUUUAAUACCAUUCUAAUUUUA
rnacentral:tRNA from 1 species